rnacentral:lncRNA from 1 species
GAUUGCAGUAACGGGACAGUCCUUGUUUCUUCAGGCAGGCCCAUGACCCUGAUCACUAUGAAUGGAAAGGAAGAUUUUUGCAUACAAUUUUUUUUUUUCUAAUAUGUAUUACCAUUUUCUUAAUGUCUUAUAAUUUCAUGUAGCUUGUUUUCCUCCUUUAGGCCGUUACAACCUUAGCAUGCCUCACUUGUCCUGUGCUUCGUGUGGAUAUUCACGAGAGGCCUCUUUGCCAGAACUUCAAAAGAGUGGUUACUGGCCUGGUAACAUUCCUGCAAGUGCACUGUUCACAACAGAUGUGCUUGUCUCAUUUCAAGAGAUGAAAAUGGCAUCACCAGGGAUGUCUUUUCAAGCAUUUGUUAAAAUGCUUGAUGAGAAAACAAUUCUCUUUGGUAGAAGUGGAAAAAUAUCGGCCAAUGCCUUCAGCUGCAGUUUCAAUGAAUGGGUUGCAGCAAGAUAUGCAGUGGAAAAGAUGUGUCAGGAGGAGUUUUUCACUUGUCCAGCAUGCACUCCGGACAUGUUAGCUGUAUCUGUUGAUGGCAAUCGCAAACACUAUCGCUUUAAAAACAAAGCAAGGUACUUACCUGUUUGUAAAUUAAAGUGAUUUUCUUAAUUUUGAAUGAUGUGUUAAUAUAACUUCCGAAUGUUUUCCUCAUUAGCACAGAGAAAAGGGGAUUACUUGACCAACUUUUUAUACAGAGUGAUGUGGAGGUGUCUGAAUUUGUGGACUAUGUCCGCAAAAACAGUGAUCACGUAAGUAUUAUGAUUGGCAAAUAUUACUGUUUAACUUGAUUUCACAGCUUUUCGCAAAUAAUUUUACACAUUUCUUGAAGUAAAAUGUAUUUCUUAGAAAAAAAUUAAACAGACCCAGAAGAUAUCGAUAUGAUGCCCUCUGACAACAUAUGUAUGUUUUGACUACUUAAGAUGUUUGUGUUCAUUGUUUUGAAAUUAGCUAGGAUUGAAGCAUUUGGAGAUUGUGUAGUUUAAGAACAUAAUAUAACAGUUAACAGUUAAUAUGUACAACACAUGGUGGGAUAGAUUUGGUUGUUUGAAGCUAUAAACUUAUCUUAAUGUUCUGUAAAUAUUUAAUCUUUUUUGUUGAUCAGGUGUAAAGUUAUGUCACAUUUAGAGUGGUCUACAGUAUUUAGCAGUGUAUCUUUUGAGCUUUUAAAAAAUGUAUAUAAUUUAUAUGAUCCAGGUGUCGGGAAGAGGAUUAUGUGGGGCAUCACACUGGACAGCAGCAAAAGAACUGGCCAAGAAAUCAAGCAGCAAACUGGAUGAGGAGGGAUUAGAGAUUGCUGUCUGUCGCCAUGGCGUUCUCCUUAUGGCCUUAAAUAUGUUUCGAGGGGAAAUUUUUGCUUACCCCCUUUUUCUGCAGAAAAAACUUGCAGACAUGUCACAGGGGAGCAUCAAAUUCUUCUGUUCAGAUGUAGCCUGCAAAUACUUCCCAUAUCUCCAGCGUAUUUCUAAGCACUUCCCCGAGCUGCAGUCUUUACUGGACAUGCAUCCUUUUCUGUCAGUGAUGCAUGCCAAAGCACACUCUUGGAAAUGUGAGGUACAUUACCAUGUGUUUUAAGUAUGUUAUUCUAAGAAAUAAUAUAAAAUAUACAUAAAAAAUUUGAGUGCAUUGUUUUUGUUGGAUUUGAAAACUUGUUAGGUCAAGUAUAGUGGGGCCUACCAGGAAGGAGCUGGGUCAACUAUUGGUGAGGAAGUGGAGCAGGUGAACAGCUUCCUAUCUAGAAUUGCUGUUACAAGCAAAUACAUGUCAAAAUCAGGUAUGUUGAAUAAGAUAUUAUUUUAUGCAGAAUGCCUUUUGUUAUAUACACAUGUCUCAUUACAUUUUCUACUAUUUCUGUUAUAGGCCGAGCAGACAUGAUUACAAUGCAAGCCAUGUUGUGGAAUAAGCGGAAGAUUCUCAAUUUGGGACAAGCUCUGGUUAACAGAUAUGUAAAGGUAUAACUUUCUUAUCAGUCAAAUAUUGCAGUUGGGAUUUGUAGGUUUUACUAAUUGAUACCUAUCUAUUAGUGCUUUAAGCAAUGUAAAAAAAAAAAAAAUACUGUUGAAAGUGGAUCAGUCUGAGCACCACACCACUCUUGAAGCCAAAAAGCAGUGGGGGGCGGGUACACUCUUGAUGGAGAUGAGAAAGAGGGAGAUUUGAAGAAAGACUGUUGGAAGAGAGAUGGCUGACAGACAUUACAAAAGAAGGGAAUAUCACUGGAAAAAGAGCACUGAAGGGAGGGCUGUGUUUGUUUGGGUUGAUUUUAUAUAUCCACAGUUUCUCAGAAAUUAUUUACUGCACUUUUGAAUGCUGGACAUUUUAAAUUUGACUUUUUAUUUUGUAGACUCAGAAGGCUCUGCAAAUGCAGCAACACAGCUUGGAAGAACUGAAGACAGAGCUUUCACUGCAUGAAGAUUGUGUUCAUCAGUGGGUUUCAGAUGUUCAACAAUGGGCAGAAGGUAUUAUUUUGAUUUGCUUUGUAAUUAUUCUUAUCAUUGGCAGGUAAUAUAUAUAGAUGCUUUUGCAUUUUCUUGUGUAGAAAGUGACCGACAUGGGAGUGGUGAUAUGAGAUGACUUCAAGAGGAAAUAGAAGGUCUAACAGUCAGCAUCAAAAGGCGUACACAGCGUCUGUACAGUCAAACAGGUGAAACACAAACAUUGGGAAUUUACCAUGUUGUUUUUUACUAUAUAUCAUUAGAUGUUAAUUGAAUAUGCAUUUUUUAGUAGCUAAAAGAGUGCUGUAAUGGCUAAAAAUAAUUAGAAAAAACAUUAAUUCUAUUCAGAUAGCAACAAGCGGCGCCAUUCUUUGCGCCUCAGAAGGACUGAAGAGAAAAAGAAGCUAGUUGCUGCAGUGGAAGAGUACAACAGCAUAGCAGAUCCAUCCCAGAAGCUUGGCUCAGUUGAAGACUUCUUCACAGCUGAAACUGUUGCUUGGCCUUGGCAAAUCCCUAGCAGUACUGGUAUGUUCUAUAUAACAGGGCAAUUCAAUUAUGUUCCCAGAGGACCACCACCAGCAUAAUUCAGUUCCAACCCUAAUCAAACACAACUGCCUGUAAUAAUCAAGCAAUCCUGAAGGCCUUGACCAGGAACAGAAUUGAAAAGUCAUAUUCUGUAAGACAAGUAUAUACCAAUGUUUUUUUUAAUGAGCAGGCACCUCAUAUAAUGACUCUUUUGUUUUGACAAACAGAAUCGGCUCCCUUUCUCACCAAGAGGAAGGUGUUUGACAAGGUGAUGGCAGUGAGACGCCUUCAGGAAGAGAGAGGUCUAAUUUGUAAGGAGAUGAAACAGCACUGGAAGGUCAUGACACAGAAGAUUUCCAAAUUCGAAGCACUGAUUAAUGACAUAAGUUCAAAAUGUAAGAAAGUCUUCAAACAUUCUUUUUUUUAACAAUUGAUAUAUAGUAUUUUAUUUUUUGAUAAUGUUUCCUUUUGUUUUUCAGCUCUUUUUCCAACCCUGACUGACACUGCAUGCAAAGGUCUCCUCUGCAUUGUUCGAAAGAAACAUUAUGAACUUAAACAUUUAAUGCAGUUGGUAAAGGCAGGCUAUGUGAAAAUCUUCAGCCAACAAGAUUUUAUGUCUGAAGAAGAAAAGCUUGAACCGGAAGAUGACGUGCAAGAGGAAGAGCUUACAGAAAGCGACUACAGCUCCGAUGAUGAAAAUGAUUUUCCUUAAUUGAACAAAUGUAACGUUUAUUUACAUAACCCCCCCCCCCCCCCCCCAAAAAAAAAGAUAAUUGAAAUGUGAAUCAGACUUUUGCCUUUAAAUGUCACAUAGAGCAAUUCGAUCAGAAGGCCUGUUUGUCUGUCGAUGUUGAUUGUGUCAACUGUUCUGUAACUACUUGAUGUGUCUUUGAACAAUAACCUAAUAAAUUACACGUGGCUAAUUACACAUCUAACAAAACUACUCUCAUGAUUUAAAUCAAUGGAGCUGUCUACACUUAAAAGAUCCAGUUAUGCAGUUUACAUUCAGUGUGUC